rnacentral:rRNA from 1 species
GUCAGCAGUAAUGUUGGACUGAAUGCAUCUGAUUUUGUCUGCCCUUAGAAGCUAAACAGUUCUCGGUCUUGCUGUGAAGGGCUGAAGGGUAAAACAUUUUAGAAUCCCAUGCACCACAGACA